AGAGUUUGAUCAUGGCUCAGAUUGAACGCUGGCGGCAGGCCUAACACAUGCAAGUCGAGCGGUAGCACAGAGAGCUUGCUCUCGGGUGACGAGCGGCGGACGGGUGAGUAAUGUCUGGGAAACUGCCUGAUGGAGGGGGAUAACUACUGGAAACGGUAGCUAAUACCGCAUAAUGUCGCAAGACCAAAGUGGGGGACCUUCGGGCCUCAUGCCAUCAGAUGUGCCCAGAUGGGAUUAGCUAGUAGGUGGGGUAACGGCUCACCUAGGCGACGAUCCCUAGCUGGUCUGAGAGGAUGACCAGCCACACUGGAACUGAGACACGGUCCAGACUCCUACGGGAGGCAGCAGUGGGGAAUAUUGCACAAUGGGCGCAAGCCUGAUGCAGCCAUGCCGCGUGUGUGAAGAAGGCCUUCGGGUUGUAAAGCACUUUCAGCGGGGAGGAAGGCGGUAAGGUUAAUAACCUUGUCGAUUGACGUUACCCGCAGAAGAAGCACCGGCUAACUCCGUGCCAGCAGCCGCGGUAAUACGGAGGGUGCAAGCGUUAAUCGGAAUUACUGGGCGUAAAGCGCACGCAGGCGGUCUGUCAAGUCGGAUGUGAAAUCCCCGGGCUCAACCUGGGAACUGCAUUCGAAACUGGCAGGCUAGAGUCUUGUAGAGGGGGGUAGAAUUCCAGGUGUAGCGGUGAAAUGCGUAGAGAUCUGGAGGAAUACCGGUGGCGAAGGCGGCCCCCUGGACAAAGACUGACGCUCAGGUGCGAAAGCGUGGGGAGCAAACAGGAUUAGAUACCCUGGUAGUCCACGCCGUAAACGAUGUCGAUUUGGAGGUUGUGCCCUUGAGGCGUGGCUUCCGGAGCUAACGCGUUAAAUCGACCGCCUGGGGAGUACGGCCGCAAGGUUAAAACUCAAAUGAAUUGACGGGGGCCCGCACAAGCGGUGGAGCAUGUGGUUUAAUUCGAUGCAACGCGAAGAACCUUACCUGGUCUUGACAUCCACAGAACUUUCCAGAGAUGGAUUGGUGCCUUCGGGAACUGUGAGACAGGUGCUGCAUGGCUGUCGUCAGCUCGUGUUGUGAAAUGUUGGGUUAAGUCCCGCAACGAGCGCAACCCUUAUCCUUUGUUGCCAGCGGUCAGGCCGGGAACUCAAAGGAGACUGCCAGUGAUAAACUGGAGGAAGGUGGGGAUGACGUCAAGUCAUCAUGGCCCUUACGACCAGGGCUACACACGUGCUACAAUGGCAUAUACAAAGAGAAGCGACCUCGCGAGAGCAAGCGGACCUCAUAAAGUAUGUCGUAGUCCGGAUUGGAGUCUGCAACUCGACUCCAUGAAGUCGGAAUCGCUAGUAAUCGUAGAUCAGAAUGCUACGGUGAAUACGUUCCCGGGCCUUGUACACACCGCCCGUCACACCAUGGGAGUGGGUUGCAAAAGAAGUAGGUAGCUUAACCUUCGGGAGGGCGCUUACCACUUUGUGAUUCAUGACUGGGGUGAAGUCGUAACAAGGUAACCGUAGGGGAACCUGCGGUUGGAUCACCU
rnacentral:rRNA from 1 species